rnacentral:rRNA from 5 species
CGACCAUAGCAUUGUGGACCCACCUGAUUCCAUGCCGAACUCAGAAGUGAAACACAAUAGCGCCGAUGGUAGUGUGGGGCUUCCCCAUGUGAGAGUAGGACAUCGCCAGGC